GCAUAUCAAUAAGCGGAGGAAAAGAAACCAACAGGGAUUGCCUUAGUAGCGGCGAGUGAAGCGGCAAAAGCUCAAAUUUGAAAUCUGGCACUUUCAGUGUCCGAGUUGUAAUUUGAAGAAGGUAUCUUUGGGUCUGGCUCUUGUCUAUGUUUCUUGGAACAGAACGUCACAGAGGGUGAGAAUCCCGUGCGAUGAGAUGUCCCAGACCUAUGUAAAGUUCCUUCGAAGAGUCGAGUUGUUUGGGAAUGCAGCUCUAAGUGGGUGGUAAAUUCCAUCUAAAGCUAAAUAUUGGCGAGAGACCGAUAGCGAACAAGUACAGUGAUGGAAAGAUGAAAAGAACUUUGAAAAGAGAGUGAAAAAGUACGUGAAAUUGUUGAAAGGGAAGGGCUUGAGAUCAGACUUGGUAUUUUGUAUGUUACUCUCUCGGGGGUGGCCUCUACCAGUUUACCGGGCCAGCAUCAGUUUGAGCGGUAGGAUAAGUGCACAGAAAUGUGGCACUGCUUCGGUAGUGUGUUAUAGUCUUUGUCGAUACUGCCAGCUUAGACUGAGGACUGCGGCUUCGGCCUAGGAUGUUGGCAUAAUGAUCUUAAGUCGCCCGUCUUGA
rnacentral:rRNA from 1 species